CAAAGUAUUAGAGAAAGAUGAGUAAACAGAUUUAUCUACGCUUAGAGAGUUUCCGGUUGGUGGAAGGAAAUCGAGGUAAUCGUUGAAGAUGGUCUUUCAAUUUAUUCAGCGGAUUUGUGAGCAUUUAGUUAGCAAAUCAUGGGAGCGCCCAUUACAGCGCACGGGUUGAUUGACCCGCAGAGUUCGUUGACCGUAAGGCAACGAAAAAACAAGGUGGUAACACGACAGACUUUCGUCCUUGAA
rnacentral:ncRNA from 1 species